rnacentral:rRNA from 1 species
CGGAGGGUGCAAGCGUUGUCCGGAAUCACUGGGCGUAAAGGGCGCGUAGGCGGCCCGGUAAGUAGGGGGUGAAAUCUUGCGGCUUAACCGCAAGGCUGCCUUCUAAACUGCCAGGCUUGAGCACAGUAGAGGCAGGUGGAAUUCCCGGUGUAGCGGUGGAAUGCGUAGAGAUCGGGAAGAACAUCGGUGGCGAAGGCGGCCUGCUGGGCUGUUGCUGACGCUGAGGCGCGACAGCGUGGGGAGCAAACAGGAUUAGAUACCCUGGUAGUCCACGCCGUAAACGAUGGGCACUAGGCGUCGGGGGGAGCGACCCUCUCGGUGCCGUCGCUAACGCAGUAAGUGCCCCGCCUGGGGAGUACGGCCGCAAGGCUG